rnacentral:tRNA from 1 species
GCCUGGGUGGCUCAGUCGGUUGAGCAUCUGACUUCGGCUCAGGUCAUGAUCUCACAGUUUGUGAGUUCGAGCCCCACGUCGGGCU